rnacentral:rRNA from 1 species
ACACUGGUACUGAGACACGGACCAGACUCCUACGGGAGGCAGCAGUAAGGAAUAUUGGGCAAUGGACGCAAGUCUGACCCAGCCAUGCCGCGUGAAGGAUGAAUGUCCUAUGGAUUGUAAACUUCUUUUAUGCAGGAAAAACAUCCCGGUCGUGAACCGGGACUGAUGGUACUGUAUGAAUAAGCAUCGGCUAACUCCGUGCCAGCAGCCGCGGUAAUACGGAGGAUGCAAGCGUUAUCCGGAUUCAUUGGGUUUAAAGGGUGCGCAGGCGGAAUGAUAAGUCAGUGGUGAAAUCUCCCGGCUCAACCGGGAAACUGCCAUUGAUACUGUCAUUCUUGAGUACAGUUGAAGUGGGCGGAAUGUGUCAUGUAGCGGUGAAAUGCUUAGAUAUGACACAGAACACCGAUAGCGAAGGCAGCUCACUAAGCUGUAACUGACGCUCAUGCACGAAAGCGUGGGGAUCAAACAGGAUUAGAUACCCUGGUAGUCCACGCUGUAAACGAUGAUCACUCGUUGUUGGCGAUAUACUGUCAGCGACUGAGCGAAAGCAUUAAGUGAUCCACCUGGGGAGUACGGCGGCAACGUUGAAACUCAAAGGAAUUGACGGGGGCCCGCACAAGCGGAGGAGCAUGUGGUUUAAUUCGAUGAUACGCGAGGAACCUUACCUGGGCUUAAAUGCAGGACGACGUUUCGUGAAAGCGGAAUUUCCUUCGGGACGUCUUGCAAGGUGCUGCAUGGUUGUCGUCAGCUCGUGCCGUGAGGUGUCGGGUUAAGUCCCAUAACGAGCGCAACCCUUAUCAUUAGUUGCCAUCAGGUAAUGCUGGGAACUCUAAUGAAACUGCCUACGCAAGUAGUGAGGAAGGUGGGGAUGACGUCAAAUCAGCACGGCCCUUAUGUCCAGGGCGACACACGUGCUACAAUGGCCAGUACAGAGGGUUGCUACCUGGUGACAGGAUGCUAAUCUCGAAAGCUGGUCUCAGUUCGGAUUGAAGUCUGCAACUCGACUUCAUGAAGUUGGAUUCGCUAGUAAUCGCGCAUCAGCCAUGGCGCGGUGAAUACGUUCCCGGGCCUUGUACACACCGCCCGUCAAGCCAUGGGAGUUGGGGGUACCUAAAGUCCGUAACCGUAAGGAGCGGCCUAGGGUAAAACCAAUGACUGGGGCUAAGUCGUAACAAGGUAGCC